ACGUAGGGGGCAAGCGUUGUCCGGAAUCACUGGGCGUAAAGGGUGCGUAGGCGGUAUGGUAAGUUAGAUGUGAAAUCCCCGGGCUUAACUCGGGAGUUGCAUUUAAAACUGUCAGACUAGAGUGCAGGAGAGGAAAGCGGAAUUCCUAGUGUAGUGGUGAAAUGCGUAGAUAUCAGGAGGAACACCAGUGGCGAAGGCGACGUCCUGGCCCGCACCUGACGCUGAGGCGCGAAAGCGUGGGGAGCGAACAG
rnacentral:rRNA from 1 species